AGAGUUUGAUCCUGGCUCAGGAUGAAUGCUGGCGGCGUGCCUAACACAUGCAAGUCGAGCGGCAGCGAGGGGUGCUUGCACCCUGUCGGCGAGCGGCGGACGGCUGAGUAACGCGUGGGAAUCUACCCUAAAGUGAGGGAUAACCGCCCGAAAGGGUGGCUAAUACCGCAUAUGAUCUUCGGAUUAAAGGAUUUAUCCGCUUUAGGAAGAGCCCGCGUUAGAUUAGGUAGUUGGUAGGGUAAUGGCCUACCAAGCCAACGAUCUAUAGCUGGUCUGAGAGGAUGAUCAGCCAGACUGGAACUGAGACACGGUCCAGACUCCUACGGGAGGCAGCAGUGAGGAAUAUUUCACAAUGAGCGAAAGCUUGAUGGAGCAAUGCCGCGUGCAGGAUGAAGGCCUUCGGGUUGUAAACUGCUUUUAUAAGAGAAGAUUAUGACGGUAACUUAUGAAUAAGGGACGGCUAACUACGUGCCAGCAGCCGCGGUCAUACGUAGGUCCCGAGCGUUAUCCGGAGUGACUGGGCGUAAAGAGUUGCGUAGGCGGUCAAGUUAGCGAGCGAUGAAAACUAUCGGCUCAACCGAUAGCUUGUUGUUCGAACUGCUUGACUCGAGAGUAUCAGAGGUCGCUGGAAUUCCUAGUGUAGCAGUGAAAUGCGUAGAUAUUAGGAAGAACACCGAUGGCGUAGGCAGGCGACUGGGAUAUUUCUGACGCUAAGGCACGAAAGCGUGGGUAGCGAACCGGAUUAGAUACCCGGGUAGUCCACGCCGUAAACGAUGGAUGCUAAUUGUUUGAGGUAUCGACCCCUCGAGUAAUAAAGCUAACGCGUUAAGCAUCCCGCCUGUGGAGUACGGCCGCAAGGCUAAAACAUAAAGGAAUUGACGGGGACCCGCACAAGCGGUGGAUCGUGUUCUUUA
rnacentral:rRNA from 1 species